GCUCUCACACUGUUGCAGGACUUCUCCUUAGUUCAGCUAAAGAUGGAGUCCUUAUCACACAGGCACGAAAAUUGAGGCUUGCAGACAAUUGAAGAGUGAGAAAAACGGGGUUUAUUGGGCAAAAAGAAAAAAAUGGGAAAGAGAGACUUUUAGCAAAGCAAGAGAGUGUUCUUCCUGCCUGUGGGCUUCCCGCCUCGCAGAUUGAAUUCCAGGUUCCACACAGGAAGAGGAGGGGCCAAGCUCCUCCCCUCCGCAAACUGCGUGAACUACUAUGGCUCCGCUCCAGUACGCAGAUAAUGUCACUUGUCAACUGAGGAAUGACAAGGUUCAUAAACCUAGAAAGAAGAGCUUUCUUCUCAUAAAGGGCUGCAGCCUGCAGGGCAGCCAUUGUGACAGGCUGAGAAGCAGAGCCUCCAGCCAGAAGCCAGAAACAGACCCUUCCAGGGGCAGAAGAACAAGACAGGAAUUUAUGCUGAAUGAGGUAUUUGCUGCUCAGAAUUGGCAAAUAGAGGAAUAAACUCUGUUACCAAAUUCCUUAAUUUCAGGAGAACCCAUGAAAGGAGUAUCAUCCAAUCAGGUCAACUCUCUUUGGUUUCCUAAUGUCUAAACAUUUCACAAUUUAUGGAAUUAUGAAAGGAUCCAGCUCCCCAGAGGAUGUGAGCACAUCUGAACACAAUUAUGCACUGCAGCCAGACAACUGUUAGCUUUCUGGGGCAAAAGACACAGAGAAAGACCAGGAUAAUCCUUGUGCGUGCAGCUCAGAUUUGGCCCCUGUCGCCACACGCUGCCAAGCCUGUCACAUUCUGGCAAUAAGGAGCAAUGCUUGGAUGGGGACCAGGACCAUGCUGACAUCUGACCACCUCUGCAGUCUGGGCGAAUUCCAAGAAAUCCCUCAGAAGAAAGUGCCAUGCAGAAAUAUCCUGGCGGGGGAACUGCCCACACAGCUGUGCCAGUUAUUCACCCUCGCCAGAUUCUUCAUGCUCUUUCCCACUUCAAGGCCCUUGCAUUAGCUGUUCUCCCUGACCAUGCACUUGACUCUCAAGAACAUUUAGGUAAGUCAUGUCCUUACCUAAGCUUAGGGGCUUAAGCGAGGGACUUGGUGUCCUGGAAGUACUCCCUAGCUCGCCACUCUAUGUAGCACCCAGUCCAGAUCUUCAGCCUCCAUCCAUCCUUUGAGAAUGUUUUAUCCUCUGAUCCCUUGAGAUAUGGGCCCUUUCUGUGACCCACCAGCCUGUGCCAGAGCCCAGGGCCUUAAUUCUGGAGGAGACAUGAUGCUACCCUGGGAACAGGUCCUUCCGGGACACGAGGCAGCUGGAGAGCUCUGGGUGUGACAGAGGAAUACGGAAACAGGGAGAAGAAACAAAGAAACAGAGAAAUGAGGAAACGAGGAAGGAAAAGGGUGGCUCCUGGAGACAAAUGUUUCCUUCUCCACACUUCUGCUGAUGCUGAGGUGGCCUUUAAAGUGCCAGCAAGGAGGAGCCGGGAGGGGUUUGCACAUGUGUUGCUGGGCAUGGAUGGGGUGGUGUGUGUGCCAGGAUGGGAGCCUUCCUGGGCAGUCACUACUGGGUGGGGCGCUCCAGUCAAGACAUCAAGACAGACAGCUAAGGCUUUCUCCCAAACCAAAAGACUUGCAAACUUCCCUACAAGUUCUGAGUUUUCUUCUGAAGCUAACUUCUUGGAACUCAAUGGCAUGAAACCGUCAUGCAGUUAAAGCAUUUAAGGGCUGUAUAUGCCCUGGGGGCUGUCAAUGUCAUAGACACUGUCAUUUCUCUCUCCCUGCACAAAAAUAACUAAAAUGAUGAAUCCGG
rnacentral:lncRNA from 1 species